GGUGCCCUUUGGUGAUAUCCACGUGCUUCAUCUCAGAUUCCUCAGUCCUCUUCUGGGGCUGGGUGGGGACGGGGCAGCAAGUUGGAUACCAAGGCUGUGCUUCUCCACCACUCCUGCAGGCCCCAAGGACUGGUCAUGGGUGGUCAUGAUUCUCCACAUCUGAGUCAUAGCAAAGCGGAGCCAUUCCCCCUCGGGAGAAAGGAGAUUCUCUUUACAUUCCAUCUCCUGCACCUCCACCACAGGUCUGCUUUUCGGGGGUUGGUUGCCAGUCAGCUGGCUGCUCCUGACCCGCAGACUCUGUGGCCCACGCUCUCUCCUGCAGGGAAAGGGAUGCGAUGCAAUAUUAUUUUGAGUGGAUUCCUCGUGAUUCUCCAUGCAAGUGACCAUGUCACCUACACAAGGAGACAGUCUCCUUCUUUGUAUGUAGUCCAGGUGUCUUUCUUCCCUCAGUGCUCUGGCGAGGCCUCACAGGCUGGUGCUGAAUGGCAGCCAUGGGGUCUGUUUCUUGGGGAGCAAGGAGCAUCUUCUCCCCGUUUAGCUCGAGAUCUGCUGUGGGUUUUUAUAGGUUCCCUUGACCACCUAGAAGUCCCCUGCUGUUCCUAGUGGGUUGAACAUUUUUAUCAUGAAAAGCUAGGGGAUUUCAUCAAAUUAUUUUUGUGUGUCUAGCAAGAUAGUCUUGUGACUUUUCCUCUUUAUUCUGUUGAUAUAAUUUAUUAUACUAAUUUGGAUGUUGAACCAAACUUGUACGCCUGGGAUAAAUCCUGGAUCACGGUGUGUGGUUUUCUCUGUCGGUGGCUUCUGUGGGGUCUGUUUUGAUGUGAUUUCUGCACUGGACUUCAUCAGCAGUCUUCUUUCCAUGAGGUGUUUUACCUGGUGCAGGCGCAAUGGGAUCAUGGCCUCAGAAUGUGGGCUGGUAGGUGCCCCCGCCUCUGCUCCUUGGGAAGGUCUGUGGUGAGUUCAUACUGCUUUCAAACAGCCCGUGGGACUUGGUGAGGCCCCCUGGCCCGGGUUUUCCAUUACUAGUGUGAUCUCUCCCUUCUGUGUAGUCUGUUCAGAUUGUGCCUCUCCUUGAGUCAGUUUCACUUUGUGCCUUUCUUGGAAUUGGUCCAUUUUGUCUACAUUUUCUAUUUGUCAGUGAACGAUUGUUGGCAAUGUUCUUUUUCCUUCUGUGGCACUGGGGAUGGAGCCCAUGGCCUCGCACCUGCUGGACAAGUGUUGACCACUGAGAAUCCCAGUGUUCCUCUACAAUCCUCUCAUCUCUGGGGGGUCAGCAGUGGCCUCCUUCUCUAAUCUAUUGUUAGGUAGUAGCUAGCAAGGAGCAGUGAAAUGCUUGGCAAAGUCACAAGUGUUCUUUUGUAAGGGUAAAAGAAAUUGAAGUUAAAGCGUAAAAGUUAAAGGGUAAAAGACUGGGUGUUGUAAAGUUUCUAAGCUGCAAGGUCUGAGUUAAAAUGUAAAGGAUUAGGUAUUGUUAGGUUUCUAUGCUACCUGCAAAACCUGAAAUUUCUGUAGCUGUUAAGACAACGCUUGGAACUGCCCAGUAAAUAUUUCCCCUGACUAUUGGAUUGUUUAAUAAGGGCUCUGUGUGGUCGCACGUAGGCAUUGCAGGGCCUGGACCAAUCAGUUUAAAUGUAACCCCCUCCUUAGGAAUGACCUAUCACUCCAGCCUGACCUGUUCCCGCCAAUGAAUGAACCAAUCAGGUUUAGGAGUUGUUGUUCAAUUUUCCCGCGCCUCAUGAUGAUUUGUUCUGAUGUAUACAAAGCCCUCCGCCCUCCCCAAAAAGUGUACUUAAGCAGUGCUCAGCCCCUGCUCGGGGCUCUGGGCUGCUUUCCCUUCUUGAGUGGGCACGGAGCCCCAGCAUGCUGGUUCAAUAAAUCCCCUUCUGCGAAUUGCAUGAGUGGUCACUUGGUGGUCUCUUUCUCCGACGUUUCGCUGGACCCUUACAUUUGGUGCGUUGGCCGGGAAAAGCGCAUUGCUGGACAAGGAAACCCCCAACGGACUCCUUUAGGGGACCACCUAUCACUCGAAUGGCCCUCCAGCCUAAUACUUCUCAAUUGGACUUUUAUCAUGGACCACUCGAUAGACCCAAUAUUUUUAAAGGGGGACUCCAAACUGCUUGCCCCAUACCGUCCCUUUUCAGCCUGAAGAAGCCAGAAAGAUUCUCUUCGCCCCCACUUCCUUACAGCAGUAAGGAGUUCCCAAAUUAGAGGGGGAAAUGAAGCCAGAUUUUAAGUUAGGUAGUCAGUGUAGUUAGAUAAAUUGGGGUCUAAUACCGAGUGAAAUCUAAAAUGGAGGCCGUGCUGAAAAUGAUUCCAGGGAACGCAAAACAACUCAUGAAAUGUGAAACCCUUCAAUAAUUGUGAUGCAUUACUUUUAAGAUUAAAAGUAGUCAGAAAAAGGAGUGGGGAAUGUAAGGGUAAAAGAAAUUGAAGUUAAAGCGUAAAAGUUAAAGGGUAAAAGACUGGGUGUUGUAAAGUUUCUAAGCUGCAAGGUCUGAGUUAAAAUGUAAAGGAUUAGGUAUUGUUAGGUUUCUAUGCUACCUGCAAAACCUGAAAUUUCUGUAGCUGUUAAGACAACGCUUGGAACUGCCCAGUAAAUAUUUCCCCUGACUAUUGGUUGUUUAAUAAGGGCUCUGUGUGGUCGCACGUAGGCAUUGCAGGGCCUGGACCAAUCAGUUUAAAUGUAACCCCCUCCUUAGGAAUGACCUAUCACUCCAGCCUGACCUGUUCCCGCCAAUGAAUGAACCAAUCAGGUUUAGGAGUUGUUGUUCAAUUUUCCCGCGCCUCAUGAUGAUUUGUUCUGAUGUAUACAAAGCCCUCUGCCCUCCCCAAAAAGUGUACUUAAGCAGUGCUCAGCCCGUGCUCGGGGCUCUGGGCUGCUCUCCCUUCUUGAGUGGGCACGGAGCCCCAGCAUGCUGGUUCAAUAAAUCCCCUUCUGCGAAUUGCA